CUAGUUGAGAGUUUGUUCUAAUUCACAACAAUUUGAUUUGCUAUUUAUUCUAGAUAUUCUUCCUUAGUGUUUGAUUUAUGUCUAAUAACUUCAAGAAUUCUUCAAUUGUAGUCUAAAACAAACCACUCUAAUAAGUGACUUAUUCCAAUUUAUAACUAUUAACUAACUUCCAACUUGAUUACUCAAGUUGUCUUCUACUUCAUUAUUCACUUAACUAAUAAAAACCACUUCCAUCCAACCAUCAAAACAAUACAAGGCACUCAAAUAACUCAACAAAACCCACACUUGAAGGAUAAUUUGUUAUAUGAUUUAAUUUAAGAUCUUACAACUUUUAUUUUUAUUUUUAUCUAGUAUUAACUUUCAUUCAAUUCUAGAAUUUUAUCCAAGGCAUUUUCAUCCGUGAAUAACUUAUCAGCUGUGAAUGAAUAUUUAUCUAAGAAGGAUUUUCAUCCAAUAAAAUAAUUCUUCAUCUACGAAUUUCAUCCAUUAAAUCCAAACUUCAUCCAUUCAAUGUUCAUCCAUUGCAGAUUUUGACAUCCACUAUAAUUUCAUUCAAUUACAAAAUUCUCUCCUACUUAAUCAGUUGUUUUGAAUUUCUCACGCAAAAUUAGUACCCGUUGAAGAAGAAUCCAGCAUCUUAUUUUGCAGCACCCAGCCGCUCUUGAUCCCACCAGUGAGGCAGCUGGCUAUUAAUUUCCAACGACUA
rnacentral:lncRNA from 1 species